GUCAACACGAGUUGUUGCUGGUCCCCAAAUGGGGGCACGUGCACGCUCUGUUYGCACAUCCAUUCACACCUGUGCACCCCAUGUAGUUCUAUGGUUUGGGGGACUCUCCCUCUGCUGUGGUUCUAUAUCUUUACACACACUCUGUAAUAAAGUCUUAUGGAAUGUAUGCAGCGUUUAACGCAAUACAAUACAACUUUCAGCAACGGAUCUCUUGGCUCUCGCAUCGAUGAAGAACGCAGCGAAAUGCGAUAAGUAAUGUGAAUUGCAGAAUUCAGUGAAUCAUCGAAUCUUUGAACGCACCUUGCGCCCUUUGGCUAUUCCGAAGGGCAUGCCUGUUUGAGUAUCAUGAACACCUCAACUCUCAUGCUUUGCCAUGAUGAGCUUGGACUUUGGGGGUCUUGCUGGCCUGUGGUCAGCUCCUCUCAAAUGAAUCAGCUUUCCAGUGUUUGGUGGCAUCACAGGUGUGAUAAAUAUCUACACUUGUGGUUUCCUGCCAAGUAACCUUCAGCAAUGGGGGUUUGCUGGAGCUCAUAAAUGUCUCUCCUCAGCGAAGACAGCUUUGUAAAUGUUUGAUCUCAAAUCAGGUAGGACUACCCGCUGAACUUAAGCAUAUCAAUAA
rnacentral:rRNA from 1 species